AAAAGACGCCGCUUUAAACCGGAAAAGAAACCUACUGCCAGAGUUCAUCCCAAAGACGAAAAAUCUCGACGAAAGAGUAAUAACAAAUUUCUAGACGGGACCAUCACACCAAAGAGACAUGGCCUCUCUGAAUGGCUUUGACAAGUAGUUGGCUGAGCAGGUUGCCCUUUAUCCCAACCUGUACGAUCCAGAUCAUGAGUUUUACAUGAACAAACGGAUUAACGCUUGUUAUCGUGGCGAGAAAUCACAAACAAGCUUGCGGAACCGUUUUAUCCGAGCCAGGAAAAAGGCGGAAUGCGGUUCCGCGAACGCCUCACUGUUGUUAGAAUCGCUGUCAUGGCUGGUGGACUUUGUUUAAUACAAGACGAUGGAGGCAGAAAUUCAGAGGAUGUCUUUAACCCAACCUGCAAAAAUCCAAAUAGACGUUAUGAGAUUGUGUGAAGAGGUGCAACGUUGCCCGUGUCUUUAUGAUGGGUCCUUAACACAUAAUAGAGACGUGGAAAAGGACAGCAAUUUGUGGAGGGAAAUUGCAAAGAAUUUGGGAGUGAGUGAAAGUGCUGGUCGGAUAAAGUGGAAAUCUUUAAGAGACAAGCUUGUGAAGACAAGGAAGAGGCUGCAGCUGAAGAGAAGAAGCUGUGCAACCUUGCUUCUGCUCCCCAUAUAUAUUCCUUGAUGGGCUGGCUCUCUGACUUUGUGAGCCCAUGGGAGUUAAAUUCCAAGUCUGCAGAAGAGGCAAUGUCGAUUAUCUUUGAAGGCAGAGGAAGGCAGUGAUACAGUCACCCUCCUCCAGAAAACUGUUGAUCUCAGCGAUUCGCCACACCGCUCAACAGCAUCACCUACAGAGGGGUCGCCAUCUCCACUCAAUCCCUCCUACUCAGCAUCAACAACUGUCGUGAAAAAAUCCUCAUCCGCGACCACUGAGGAUUUUAUUCAAAACAAACUCCAGGAGAUUAAGAAGAUUAUUAAGAAGGCCAAAGAAGAUCAGAGGAAGAGGCAAGACUUGGGUAUGAUGUUUGUGAUGGGUACAGGUCCAAGGGGUGCAUUUAUUUGAACUGUAGUAUUAAUGAGCUUCAACAUUACUGGUUCUGCUCAUGUGAUUUGAUAAAAAAGGAUAUAUAUUUUUAUUUUAUUGUUCUUAUUUCAUGAAUUUAUCUUACUAUUUCUGUCUCGGCUGAAUUCUCUCUCGAGGCCUGUGUGCAAUGAACAAGGGCAACUCUGAAGUAGCUUUUGACACACAGACUGUGCUGACAGUAACAAUUGCAGCGUCCAUAAACAUUUAAAAGUGUGGUCACAAUUGAGCUCUUGCACCAUAAGUGGAACAUGUUUGUAUAGCUGCGUCUGUGUGGUUUAACAUGUGGGAAGAAGCUUCUACAAAUCUGUGCCACUACAUGGUGAAAUUUUGUGGCAUAUCAAUACAGCCACAGUAUUGUGUUAAUUUGCAAUAUUGUAUCAAUACAGGGACACCAGAUAUCAAUAUUUCAUUAAAUAAAUUAGAAUACUGUGGAAAUACAGUGAAAAGAGCACAAGUGCACCGAUAUCCUAGGAUAACGUUAGCCGAGCAAACUUGGAUUAAAUCGUCGGAACUGAAAAAUCACCCAACACUGAGUCGAUGAUUUAUCACUGUUCAUUCCAUUUAACUGCGGAUGGCAAGAAUUUAUGACAGUGUUGGUUAUGUUUGACAGUCUCAUUUUGCAGCGUAAUGAUUAAAGUGAGAAAACGUUAUCUUAUUGGAUAAAACGCAUAUUGACGAAGUUUAGUUUUGAGGGCAUAAUUUGCAGUUGGAAAAAAAAGGUGCUAAAUCGCAGUAUUCGUUAUUGCAGAACUCGCCGUAUAGUGGCGUGGCUGAUGAUUGUGGUGUAAGGUGAUAAUGUGGUGUUUGUCAGAUUUCCAUCUUCCCCUGUCCUCCCUGAACCUCUAGGUUCCGCCUUUCAGGCUGAUAUCAGCGUGUAUGUGGCGGGUUGCUCAGGAGAGAAAGGUAGGGGAGUAGGAAAACUGUACAAAUUCAUCUCACUGGUGUCAGAGAUGGUCCCAGACCUUCUGGGCUACAAACAUAAGACUCAGCUGAUCCUUGGACUGAGGGCCCAGGGACAGCUGGUGAAGUAGCCUUCCGGUCAUUCUAGUAUUCACAGAGCUUAAUGGAAAAUCUGGAUUUCUGGGGAAUCGAGAAGUUUGCUGAAGAGAGCACCGUCGAGUCUUCUCCAUUCAGCGAGAACAAUGCAAAUAAACACGUCUGUUCGGACUGUG